rnacentral:rRNA from 1 species
CCUACGGGAGGCUGCAGUGGGGAAUAUUGCGCAAUGGGCGAAAGCCUGACGCAGCGACGCCGCGUGAGGGAUGAAGGUCUUCGGAUCGUAAACCUCUUUCAGCAGGGAAGAACGGUCACUGUGCUAAUCAGCAGUGCAUUGACGGUACCUGCAGAGGAAGCACCGGCUAACUCCGUGCCAGCAGCCGCGGUAAUACGGAGGGUGCGAGCGUUAAUCGGAAUUACUGGGCGUAAAGCGCUCGUAGGCGGUAUGUCAAGUCAAGGGUGAAAUCCCCGCGCUCAACGUGGGAACUGCCUUUGAAACUGGCAAACUGGAGUGUGUGAGAGGAUAGUGGAAUUCCAGGUGUAGGAGUGAAAUCCGUAGAGAUCUGGAGGAAUAUCAGUGGCGAAGGCGACUAUCUGGCACAUAACUGACGCUGAGGAGCGAAAGCGUGGGUAGCAAACAGGAUUAGAUACCCCUGUAGUC